GACAGAGGGUGCAAACGUUGUUCGGAAUUACUGGGCGUAAAGCGCGUGUAGGCGGCAGGGCAUGUCGGAUGUGAAAUCCCGUGGCUCAACCACGGAAGUGCACCCGAAACUGCCCAGCUUGAGUCUCGGAGAGGAAGGCGGAAUGCUUGGUGUAGAGGUGAAAUUCGUAGAUAUCAAGCGGAACACCGGUGGCGAAGGCGGCAUCCUGGACCGACACUGACACUGAGGAGCGAAAGCCAGGGGAGCAAACGGG
rnacentral:rRNA from 1 species